GUAUAAUGGUGCAAUAAUCGGCAACUCAGUGCAGAGGGUUUAGUCAACCUUGCUGAGAACGGUUUGAAUGCAAAGUCUUGUUUAUAUGGGAUACUGUAUAAUUAAGGCUUCUUGUUGAUAGUGAUUGAUACGGGGUAGAGACAGAUGUCUCAAGUGCAAGAACCGGUUGCCGGUCUAUAUGAGCAAAAUGUCUAAUCAAGGAGUCGGAGCGAUAAUUGAGGAGGUCCACAGCAAUGGGGACCAAUGCGGCUCUUAAGUGCUGUAUGGGGACAUAUAGAUUACUGAGAGUAAUUCCAAAACAAGCUCUUGCCAAUGACCCGGAGAAAUCCGGCUAUAAGACAAAACAGAUUAGGGCGAGUACCACAAGGCGUUCUUUUACAAAAUAUUAAUUGCUAAAUAUUUACUGAAAAAUACUUAACAAGAACUGAAUGACGUGGGAAAGUUGGGGGUAUCAUUCCCCUCAGAGCAUAGGGCGAAAGCCGGGGUACAUAGGUUAGGACGACGGUCCGAAGCUUCAGGUGUAUCUCCUCUGUGACAGAAUAUUGCGUAGUAUAGAUUUGGGUAGGGCGAAGGUCCGCCGAUUAUUGUUUUUUUUU
rnacentral:sRNA from 12 species